rnacentral:rRNA from 1 species
AAUACUAGAGUUUGAUCCUGGCUCAGAUUGAACGCUGGCGGCAUGCCUUACACAUGCAAGUCGAACGGUAACGCGGGGCAACCUGGCGACGAGUGGCGAACGGGUGAGUAAUGCAUCGGAACGUGCCCAGUAGUGGGGGAUAGCCCGGCGAAAGCCGGAUUAAUACCGCAUACGACCUGAGGGUGAAAGGGGGGGAUCGCAAGACCUCUCGCUAUUGGAGCGGCCGAUGUCAGAUUAGGUAGUUGGUGGGGUAAAGGCCUACCAAGCCGACGAUCUGUAGCUGGUCUGAGAGGACGACCAGCCACACUGGGACUGAGACACGGCCCAGACUCCUACGGGAGGCAGCAGUGGGGAAUUUUGGACAAUGGGCGCAAGCCUGAUCCAGCCAUGCCGCGUGCGGGAAGAAGGCCUUCGGGUUGUAAACCGCUUUUGUCAGGGAAGAAAUCUUCUGAGUUAAUACCUCGGGAGGAUGACGGUACCUGAAGAAUAAGCACCGGCUAACUACGUGCCAGCAGCCGCGGUAAUACGUAGGGUGCAAGCGUUAAUCGGAAUUACUGGGCGUAAAGCGUGCGCAGGCGGUUUUGUAAGACAGAGGUGAAAUCCCCGGGCUCAACCUGGGAACUGCCUUUGUGACUGCAAGGCUUGAGUGCGGCAGAGGGGGAUGGAAUUCCGCGUGUAGCAGUGAAAUGCGU